GAUGAACGCUGGCGGCGUGCCUAAUACAUGCAAGUCGAGCGAACGGACGAGAAGCUUGCGUCUCUGAUGUUAGCGGCGGACGGGUGAGUAACACGUGGAUAACCUACCUAUAAGACUGGGAUAACUUCGGGAAACCGGAGCUAAUACCGGAUAAUAUUUUGAACCGCAGGGUUCAAAAGUGAAAGACGGUCUUGCUGUCACUUAUAGAUGGAGCCGCGCUGCAUUAGCUAGUUGGUAAGGUAACGGCUUACCAAGGCAACGAUGCAUAGCCGACCUGAGAGGGUGAUCGGCCACACUGGAACUGAGACACGGUCCAGACUCCUACGGGAGGCAGCAGUAGGGAAUCUUCCGCAAUGGGCGAAAGCCUGACGGAGCAACGCCGCGUGAGUGAUGAAGGUCUUCGGAUCGUAAAACUCUGUUAUUAGGGAAGAACAUAUGUGUAAGUAACUGUGCACAUCUUGACGGUACCUAAUCAGAAAGCCACGGCUAACUACGUG
rnacentral:rRNA from 1 species